UGCGUAGGUGGUUUCUUAAGUCAGAGGUGAAAGGCUACGGCUCAACCGUAGUAAGCCUUUGAAACUGGGAAACUUGAGUGCAGGAGAGGAGAGUGGAAUUCCUAGUGUAGCGGUGAAAUGCGUAGAUAUUAGGAGGAACACCAGUUGCGAGGGCGGCUCUCUGGACUGUAACUGACACUGAGGCACGAAAGCGUGGGGAGCAAACA
rnacentral:rRNA from 1 species